GACGGAGGGUGCUAGCGUUGUUCGGAAUCACUGGGCGUAAAGCGCACGUAGGCGGCUUUGUAAGUUAGAGGUGAAAGCCCGGGGCUCAACUCCGGAAUUGCCUUUAAGACUGCAUCGCUAGAAUUGUGGAGAGGUAAGUGGAAUUCCGAGUGUAGAGGUGAAAUUCGUAGAUAUUCGGAAGAACACCAGUGGCGAAGGCGACUUACUGGACACAUAUUGACGCUGAGGUGCGAAAGCGUGGGGAGCAAACAGG
rnacentral:rRNA from 1 species